GAUAAGUGGGAGCUUCGG
rnacentral:snRNA from 1 species